AGUCUGCAACCCGACUCCACGAAGCUGGAUUCGCUAGUAAUCGCGCAUCAGCCACGGCGCGGUGAAUACGUUCCCGGGCCUUGUACACACCGCCCGUCAAGCCAUGGGAGCCGGGGUACCUGAAGUGCGUAACCGCGAGGAUCGCCCUAGGGUAAAACUGGUGACUGGGGCUAAGUCGUAACAAGGUAUC
rnacentral:rRNA from 1 species